UCACAAAGGUGAAUUCACUUGCUCAAGAUCCAACACACACAAAAUGGAGGUGGUUCAAACCCAGGUGUGUCUGACUGCAGAGCCUGUGUUCUUCCCAGUAGAGAUGUGGAUGCAGCACAAAUGGUAGAAAGGACCUGAGACUUAGUCAGAAGACCUCAGUUCACCCAAGGUAUCUGCUAUGCCCAAGGCCUCUGCUCAGUGCUGAGGAAACAAGCAUGGACAAGAUGUGGCCUCCACCCUGAGGAGCUCCUAAAUCUAGGACAGAGUAAAUCUGUUAGAAAUGUCUUCUCUGCACAUAAUUUAAGCUCUACCAACUGUUAACUUCUUUUCAUUUAUCCAAGUUUUGCCAGGUACCACACCAAUAAAAAAAGACU
rnacentral:lncRNA from 1 species